rnacentral:rRNA from 1 species
GACAGAGGUACCGAGCGUUAGGCGGAAUCACUGGGCUUAAAGCGUGUGUAGGCGGACUUCUAAGUACCUUGUGAAAUCCCACGGCUUAACCGUGGAACUGCUUGGUAUACUGGCGGUCUUGGGCCAUUCAGGGGCGACUGGAACAAGCGGUGGAGCGGUGAAAUGCGUAGAUAUCGCUUGGAACGCCGAAGGUGAAAACAGGUCGCUGGGGAUGUGCCGACGCUGAGACACGAAAGCCAGGGGAGCAAACGGG